AUUGAACGCUGGCGGCAUGCCUUACACAUGCAAGUCGAACGGUAACAGGUCUUCGGAUGCUGACGAGUGGCGAACGGGUGAGUAAUACAUCGGAACGUGCCCGAGAGUGGGGGAUAACGAGGCGAAAGCUUUGCUAAUACCGCAUACGAUCUCAGGAUGAAAGCAGGGGACCGCAAGGCCUUGCGCUCACGGAGCGGCCGAUGGCAGAUUAGGUAGUUGGUGGGAUAAAAGCUUACCAAGCCGACGAUCUGUAGCUGGUCUGAGAGGACGACCCGCCACACUGGGACUGAGACACGGCCCAGACGCCUACGGGAGGCAGCAGUGGGGAAUUUUGGACAAUGGGCGCAAGCCUGAUCCAGCCAUGCCGCGUGCAGGAUGAAGGCCUUCGGGUUGUAAACUGCUUUUGUACGGAACGAAAAGACUCUGGUUAAUACCUGGGGUCCAUGACGGUACCGUAAGAAUAAGCACCGGCUAACUACGUGCCAGCCGCCGCCGUAGUAA
rnacentral:rRNA from 1 species